rnacentral:tRNA from 1 species
GCCCCCAUAGCUCAGGGGAUAGAGCAAGGGUUUCCUAAACCCUGUGUCGCAGGUUCGAAUCCUGCUGGGGGCGCGA